UGCAUCGUAGUGUAGUGGUUUGAACGCUGGGCCAGGACUCUGGAGAACAGGGUUCGAAUCCCGGCUCGACUAUGUAA